CCUACGGGAGGCAGCAGUGGGGAAUCUUGCGCAAUGGGCGAAAGCCUGACGCAGCCAUGCCGCGUGAAUGAUGAAGGUCUUAGGAUUGUAAAAUUCUUUCACCGGGGACGAUAAUGACGGUACCCGGAGAAGAAGCCCCGGCUAACUUCGUGCCAGCAGCCGCGGUAAUACGAAGGGGGCUAGCGUUGCUCGGAAUUACUGGGCGUAAAGGGAGCGUAGGCGGAUAGUUUAGUCAGAGGUGAAAGCCCAGGGCUCAACCUUGGAAUUGCCUUUGAUACUGGCUAUCUUGAGUGUGGGAGAGGUAUGUGGAACUCCGAGUGUAGAGGUGAAAUUCGUAGAUAUUCGGAAGGACACCAGUGGCGAAGGCGACAUACUGGCCCAUUACUGACGCUGAGGCUCGAAAGCGUGGGGAGCAAACAGGAUUAGAUACCCUGGUAGUCCACGCUGUAAACGAUGAGUGCUAGUUGUCGAGCAUGCAUGCAUGUUCGGUUGGUACGGACGACGCGUAACCGUACGACGUUAAGUACGACCGUCCGCCGUCGGGGUAGGGUACGGGUCGGUCGAAGAAGUUAAACGUUAACGUAAAGUUAGUUAAGUUAGUUACGGCGUUGAGACGUUGCCGACGGACGACGACGAGGGAGGAGG
rnacentral:rRNA from 1 species